rnacentral:tRNA from 1 species
UCUUCGGUAGUAUAGUGGUUAGUAUUCCCGCCUGUCAUUGAUAGAUUCGCGGGCGACCGGGGUUCAAUUCCCCGCCGAAGAG